rnacentral:rRNA from 1 species
GACGAACGCUGGCGGCGUGCCUAAUACAUGCAAGUCGAACGAGAGCACCCGGUGCUUGCCCUGGUCAAUCUAGUGGCGAACGGGUGAGUAACACGUGGGUAACCUGCCCAUCAGAGGGGGAUAACAUCCGGAAACGGAUGCUAAAACCGCAUAGGUCUUCGAACCGCAUGGUUUGAAGAGGAAAAGAGGCGCAAGCUUCUGCUGAUGGAUGGACCCGCGGUGCAUUAGCUAGUUGGUGAGGUAACGGCUCACCAAGGCCGUGAUGCAUAGCCGACCUGAGAGGGUGAUCGGCCACAUUGGGACUGAGACACGGCCCAAACUCCUACGGGAGGCAGCAGUAGGGAAUCUUCCGCAAUGGACGCAAGUCUGACGGAGCAACGCCGCGUGAGUGAAGAAGGUGUUCGGAUCGUAAAACUCUGUUGUUAGAGAAGAACAAGUGCUAGAGUAACUGUUAGCGCCUUGACGGUAUCUAACCAGAAAGCCACGGCUAACUACGUG